CAAUGCUAGGAUGUGAUGGGGAAGCCCUUCGGGGCGAAGUAGCUGAUUUCACACUGUCAAGAAAAGCUUCUAUCGAGUUUAAAGGCGCCCGUACCGUAAACCGACACAGGUGGGUGAGGAGAGUAUCCUAAGGCCAGCGAGAGAACUAUUGUUAAGGAACUCGGCAAAAUGACCCCGUAACUUAGGGAGAAGGGGUGCCUGUCUAUGACAGGCCGCAGAGAAUAGGCCCAAGCGACUGUUUACCAAAAACACAGGUUUCUGCUAAGUCGCAAGACGAUGUAUAGGAGCUGACGCCUGCCCGGUGCUGGAAGGUUAAGGGGAUCUGUUAGAGCAAUCGAAGCAGUGAACUUAAGCCCCAGUAAACGGCGGCCGUAACAAUAACGGUCCUAAGGUAGCGAAAUUCCUUGUCGGGUAAGUUCCGACCCGCACGAAAGGCGUAACGAUUUGGGCACUGUCUCAACAAUAGACUCGGUGAAAUUGUAAUCCCGGUGAAGAUGCCGGGUACCUGCGACAGGACGGAAAGACCCCAUGGAGCUUUACUGUAGCUUGACGUUGGGUCUUGGUACUACAUGUACAGGAUAGGUGGGAGACUAUGAAGCAUGGACGCCAGUCUGUGUGGAGUCAUCCUUGGGAUACCACCCUUGUAGUACUGGGAUCCUAACCAUAGGCCUUGAAUCAGGUCUUGGAACACCGUCAGGUGGGCAGUUUGACUGGGGCGGUCGCCUCCUAAAAAGUAACGGAGGCGCUCAAAGGUUUCCUCAGCACGGUCGGAAAUCGUGCGAAGAGUGUAAAGGCAAAAGGUAGCUUGAUUGCAAGACAUACAGGUCGAGCAAGGACGAAAGUCGGACUUAGUGAUCCGGUGGUACCGCAUGGAAGGGCCAUCGCUCAACGGAUAAAAGCUACCCUGGGGAUAACAGGCUUAUCUCCCCCAAGAGUCCACAUCGACGGGGAGGUUUGGCACCUCGAUGUCGGCUCAUCACAUCCUGGGGCUGUAGUAGGUCCCAAGGGUUGGGCUGUUCGCCCAUUAAAGUGGUACGCGAGCUGGGUUCAGAACGUCGUGAGACAGUUCGGUCCCUAUCCGUCGCAGGCGUAGGAAAUUUGAGAAGACCUGUCCUUAGUACGAGAGGACCGGGAUGGACGUACCUCUGGUGUACCAGUUGUUCUGCCAAGGGCAUGGCUGGGUAGCUAUGUACGGAAUGGAUAAGCGCUGAAAGCAUCUAAGCGCGAAGCCAGCUUCAAGAUAAGAUUUCCCACCGUAAGGGUAAGACCCCAGGAAGACUACCUGGUUGAUAGGUCGAAGGUGUAAGUGCAGUAAUGUAUUUAGCUUAUCGAUACUAAUAGGUCGAGGACUUGACC
rnacentral:rRNA from 1 species